rnacentral:rRNA from 1 species
CCCUUAGAGUUUGAUCCUGGCUCAGAACGAACGUUGGCGGCGUGGAUUAGGCAUGCAAGUCGAACGAAUCCCUGGGGGGUAACUCUCAGGGGGAAGUGGCGAAAGGGGCAGUAAGGCAUGGGUAACCUGCCCCGGGGACGGGGAUAGCCAUUCUAACGAGUGGGUAAUACCCGGCGACGUAUCAGGGGGGCAUCCCCCGGUUACCAAAGGAUCCGUCGCCCCGGGAGGGGCUCAUGUGAUAUUAGCUAGUUGGCGGGGUAACGGCCCACCAAGGCGGAGAUGUCUAGCAGGUGUGAGAGCACGACCUGCGCCACUGGCACUGGGACACUGGCCAGACUCCUACGGGAGGCUGCAGUCGAGGAUCUUCGGCAAUGGGCGCAAGCCUGACCGAGCGACGCCGCGUGUGCGACGA